GACGAACGCUGGCGGCGUGGAUAAGGCAUGCAAGUCGCAUGGGUUAGACCCAUGGCAAACGGGUUAGUAACACGUAGAUACAUACCUCUAACUCAGGCAUAACUCGGAGAAAUCCGGGAUAAUACCUGAAGUCCCGCAAGGGUAAAGAUUUAUCGGUUAGAGAGUGGUCUGCGGCCUAUCAGCUUGUUGGUAAGGUAAUGUCUUACCAAGGCUAUGACGGGUAGGGGACGUGAGAGCGUGUUCCCCAACAAGGGCACUGAGAUACGGGCCUUACUCCUACGGGAGGCAGCAGUCGAGAAUCUUCCACAAUGGGCGAAAGCCUGAUGGAGCGACGUCGCGUGCACGAAGAAGCCCUUCGGGGUGUAAAGUGCUUUUCUAAGGGAACAAUUUUCUAUUUUUGAUUGAUUUUGAGGGUACCUUAGGAAUAAGGGGCUGCUAAACUCGUGCCAGCAGCAGCGGUAAAACGAGUGCCCCAAGCGUUGUCCGGAAUUAUUGGGCGUAAAGCGUCUGUAGGGGGUUUGACUUGUCCUUUGUUAAAUCUUGUUGCUCAACAACAGGGCUGCAGAGGAAACGGUCAAACUAGAGGAUGUGAGAGGCUGAUGGAACUCAGGGAGGAGGGGUGAAAUCCGUUGAUACCCUGAGGAACACCAAAGGCGAAGGCAUUCAGCUGGCGCAUUCCUGACCCUGAGAGACGAAAGCGUGGGUAGCGAACGGGAUUAGAUACCCCGGUAGUCCACGCCCUAAACGAUGGGUACUAAUUGUUUGAAGUAUCGACCCUUCAAGUGGUAAAGCUAACGCGUUAAGUACCCCGCCUGGGAAGACGAUCGCAAGAUU
rnacentral:rRNA from 1 species